UACGUAGGGUGCGAGCGUUGUCCGGAAUUAUUGGGCGUAAAGAGCUUGUAGGCGGUUUGUCGCGUCUGCCGUGAAAAUUCGAGGCUCAACCUCGAACUUGCGGUGGGUACGGGCAGACUAGAGUGUGGUAGGGGAGACUGGAAUUCCUGGUGGAGCGGUGAAAUGCGUAGAGAUUGGAAAGAACACCAACGGCGAAAGCACUCUGCUGGGCCGACACUGACACUGAGAGACGAAAGCUAGGGGAGCGAAUGGG
rnacentral:rRNA from 1 species